rnacentral:rRNA from 1 species
AGAUUGAACGCUGGCGGCAUGCUUUACACAUGCAAGUCGAACGGCAGCACGGGGGCAACCCUGGUGGCGAGUGGCGAACGGGUGAGUAAUGCAUCGGAACGUAUCCUUGGAGUGGGGGAUAACGUAGGGAAACUUACGCUAAUACCGCAUACGACCGAGAGGUGAAAGCGGGGGACCGAAAGGCCUCGCGCAGCAGGAUGAGCCUACGUCCGAUUAGUUAGUUGGUGGGGUAAAGGCCUACCAAGGCUACGAUCGGUAGCUGGUCUGAGAGGACGACCAGCCACACUGGGACUGAGACACGGCCCAGACUCCUACGGGAGGCAGC